AUUCUUAUAAAUGUCGGAAAGAUAGGUCUGCAAUUAUAUUAAAAGUGAAGGGAAGCAAAUAAAAUAAAAAAGUGAAGAAAGAAAUUAGAAAAUAAGGAGAGAUAUGGCGCCACCUUGGGGUCCACCGGCAGGGCCUUCCGGCGGUAUCUGCAGCUGUAUAUGUAACCUUGUAUGUUCUUGUUUGUAUUGUCUGUGUUGCUGCUGUCUCCUGGAGAGUUGUUGCGGCCCAAUGUUUGGUGGACCUCCUCCUCCUGGGCCCCCUGGUCCAGGUUUCUGAUCCAUUCCAGGAUGAAUCGAGGAAAUAAAAAAACAUGAAUCUGUGCUGAGUGUGAUGGUUGUUGUGGCUAGUGGCAACCCCUUUAGUUUCUGUUACAUUUGUUUUAAUGCUGUUAAUAAGGGAUUGUAUUAUGUUCUGUUGUCUGAGGCCUGUUCUUUUGUUUCCCUGAGUAUUUCGUCUUAUUUAAAUAUCAGUGUUUUCUUUAGGCUGAACUGAAACUGAAUGUAAAAUGCAUAACUGUUUGAUUUUAUGAGUUGACGUGUGAAAUUAAUGCAGAAAAAAAAUCAUGAUAUUUCUACAGUUAUUUCUUA